rnacentral:piRNA from 1 species
UGGGAAACUGAGCAGGAACCUA